rnacentral:rRNA from 1 species
AUUGAACGCUGGCGGCAGGCUUAACACAUGCAAGUCGAGCGGGGUGAUGGUGCUUGCACUAUCACUUAGCGGCGGACGGGUGAGUAAUGCUUAGGAAUCUGCCUAUUAGUGGGGGACAACAUCUCGAAAGGGAUGCUAAUACCGCAUACGUCCUACGGGAGAAAGCAGGGGAUCACUUGUGACCUUGCGCUAAUAGAUGAGCCUAAGUCGGAUUAGCUAGUUGGUGGGGUAAAGGCCUACCAAGGCGACGAUCUGUAGCGGGUCUGAGAGGAGGAUCCGCCACACUGGGGCUGAGGCACGGCCCAGACUCCUACGGGAGGCAGCAGUGGGGAAUAUUGGACAAUGGGGGAAACCCUGAUCCAGCCAUGCCGCGUGUGUGAAGAAGGCCUUAUGGUUGUAAAGCACUUUAAGCGAGGAGGAGGCUCUUUUGGUUAAUACCCAAGAUGAGUGGACGUUACUCGCAGAAUAAGCACCGGCUAACUCUGUGCCAGCAGCCGCCGCCG